AGGGGUCGAACCAUCAGGGGGUACGAUGGAUCGAGCGGCGGAGCGAGACGAAGGGGGGCUCGAGCGUAGUACUACGCCUCGUACUACACGUGCGUGCGUGUGUAAGACGAUAACGAGGAUACACGCAUUCGCUCACGGCGGACACGCAGCUCGGUGCGUACACGAACGGGGCAUGAGGGGAGCCUCGCGAUCCACGAAGCGCAAUAAGAGAGCGCGAUUAGGGCAGGCUUACGGACCUCGUGUGUUUGGAGAUCGGUUUAGAGCCGGUGGAUUCGAAUGUUCGACGCGAUGUUUCGUACGUAGCCUGGGGUUGUUAACCUCUCCGGGCCCCAUAGGCGAUGAUGGGCUUCUGCAGGCCCCUCAUACGAUUACCCCGGCGCAUGAUUCUACACGGUCAAUUAUCAUUUGGAACACGUUACUCCGUACAAUGUCUUUGAGAACGAUCUUAGGGAACAUGUUUGAAGGGUUCUUGGGGGUUUCGUGGGGUCUUAACCCUUUCAGGGUGGACACUUUGACGGCGUAUCUUUCUAUUUAAUUGUUUUCGAAUUUAAUACACGUGUUGUAAUUUAUUAUUUCCAGAUUUGGGUUAGAUUACACGUAGGUUCCUGUUUGACUGUUUCUGAAUUUUAGUGGUGAUUUAGAUACACUGUACAGGAUAACUAUAGCAUUAGUCACAUUUUCACAAAAGUCACAUUUUCACUAGUCACAAGAUCAAUUAUACUAGUUAAUAAUGAAUAGACUGCGGAUAUUUAUGCAUUCAUAGGAAAUUUGAAUGUGCAAGAAGCUACAAAAGACAAACAAUAUGCAAGAACAUACAAAAAGAUUGAAAGUAAAGUUCACGUUAUAAUAUUUGCAGAAUAAAAUAGAUUCCUAUUUAAGUUCAAUUUUUGUAGGCAAUCCGCGGUCCAAUAAUGAAUUUUAUAUUAAUAUAUCUACAGUUGCUUUCUAUAUCGUACAAUUGAUUUUAAUUCAUACAGACAGAUAUUUCUGAAUCAUUUAAAAAUAUGAUUGAUCCGAUAGUCAUUCUCUGCAGUGUAGAAUAUAAAUAUGAUAUUUUAAUAUCCUCCUGUAUUAACACAAAACCAACAUUCCCCGAUCAAAUGAUCGUUUUCAAACUUCUGUGUACAAUUCUCAUGUGUACAACACAUCAAUCAUAUACUAUUGUUUCAUGCAUCACUCAAUUUAGUUCCACGUGAAAUAUUUUUCCAUUCGAUCGAAAAUAAUUUCUUUCAAACCAGGCGAUUUACCAAUAACGGUAGAAAUAAAUAGUACAAAUAAAAUGUUAGAUUUAGUGUUAAACAAUCCCCUGCUAGGAAUACCUUCCUAUUUUUCCAGUAAUUCACAUUAAUUUUAUUUAACACGUUGAUCGCCACGUCAUCCAUAUGUGGGUGACAGUGCUUUUCACUGAAGAACUAAAAAAAUUAAUUCUGAAAGUUGAGCUUCAAAGGAAAUGAAUUUACAUGAAAUUCGUGUAUUUUAAUGAAGUUACAAAAAUAAAUACCACGUCGGAUGUUUGAUUAUGUAGUCUCUAAUAGUGUAAAUAAUAUUUAAUCCUAGCAGAAAUUUUCAAGAAUAUUUCUCUACGUGUGAAACGAUUCAAACGUCUAUUGUUUUCGGUUUCCUUUAUGAAUCGUUUAAAUAUUACGCAUUGAAACGAUGUUUAUACCAGCACGAAACCGUUACAGUCUCGGGUUAUUCCAGAUGGUCGCUCUCGUAAACAUAGAAAAAACCAAAUUGAGCAUGACCUCUUUGUACGGAGCUCCGCGUAACAUACACCGUGUCUCCGAAAUUAUUCCACGCGAAUCGGGAAACAAAGAAAAUUCUUCGCGUGCAUUGAAGCAGCAUCGAAGCAGCAUCGAAGCCAAGAGUGCGGUGCUUGUUCAAUUACUGCAAUGAGUACGAGUACAGAAUUCCCAUCGAGUACGAGUCUGAGUCCGAGUACGAGUUCCAGUCCGAGUCUGCUGUAUCUGCGCAGUGAUUACCGCAGGAGGAAAAGGGAGAGCACGGGGAAGUUAAAGGGUAGAACACUGGCGGAGAGAGAAACGAGGAUGGGGUAGUUACGAGUCUACGAGACGAAUGGUUCAUCUGUUUGCAGAGGGCGGCGCUAGUGUCUCGUCCUGCAUAACUUCCAAGGUCUUGCUUCCCAGAGGGGUUCGGUCCAAAAGUGCAGAUUUCUGGGAUGGUUUCUUUCCAAGAAACAGCAACAAGAAUUCAAAGUUUCGAUGUAGUAAAAAUAAAAGAACCUGAGCAGUGCUAUACUCCCAAGUUAUACCAAACACAUGUAACCUACAGAGUCAUACAAACUACUACGUCGUCCAAGCAACAACUACUAAUAGUACAACUUAAUAAUAAAAUACAGCU